GGCUGAUGAACCUCCAGCGAAGAUAAACAAACCGAAUAAACUUUCAAAUAAAGCGGGCGAAGAGAGAAUAAACUGGAGGAUAUGGAAAGAACAAAAGAAAGAAGAGAAGAGGCGAUGCAAAGAGAGCAAACUCAUCCAACAGCUGGAGAAGCAGAAGAGAGAAGAGGAGAAUAAGCAGCAGAUUCAGCAGGAAGAGAAGGAAAGUAAAGACUCCAGUUCUGUACUUCAUACUGUACUAUACAGUGUAUACAUCAUAAUUAAACAAAACUAAAAACAUUAAAUAUAAAUAGACGUUAACUGAAAUAAAAUAUUUAAAAAAAAAAUUAUUUGAGCUUUUUGCCAACCCAACAUUUCUUAUUCUCAUUUAGUGAAAAUAUACCAAAUGUGAUAUUAAAUAAUACCGAUAUACAAAAAUAACUAAAACUUAAUACAAAUAUAUAAUACACAUAUUUAAAAAAAAUACACCCAUCAAAAUUACUAAAGCUUUAACUAAAAUUAAAAUGGAACACAAAAUAAUAAUCAAAACAUUAAUAGAAACUAUAAUAGUAUAUCAAAGAUACUAAAACAACACUGGUAUGAUCUAAUGGACAAAAUCUCCUACAUGUUCCUCGAUCAAAAUUAAAGUUCAGAGGUGACCGCACAUUUUCGGUUGCUGCCCCAAGACUUUGGAAUAAUUUGCCAGUGUCUUUGCGACAAUAAUCAUUAAGAAUCAGCUAAAAACAUAUUUUUUCAUUAGCCUUUGAUCAGGGAUGAGUGCUGAGGUAUUGUCGCUGUAUUGUUUUGUAUGUUGUGUAUUGAUGUUGUUGUUUUUUUAUGGUCAUUUAUUAUUUGCUAUUAAUUGAACUUACUGUACAGCACUUUAGUCAACUUGGUUGUUUUAUUAGGUGCUUUAUAAAUAAAGUUGGAGUUGGUACUAUAUAUAUAUAUAUAUAUAUAUAUAUAUAUGGUACUAUAUUACAAAGGUUGUACUUUC
ensembl:lncRNA